UCAUUGCCUUUGUUCCUGGGCUGAGCGAGUCCUCUCCCUGCUCGGCACAAGUGCCAACAGUCCAAGGCCGAUCUCGAGCUGGCAUUUUGGGGCCACCAGGAAGAAGCGCCUGGCCCUGUGCAUUGUGGUUACCACGGGGGAGUGUGACAGAGUACAACAGACUGUCACAAGGGUGGUAGUGCUAGUGCUGGAGGAGGGGACCAGCACCUAACCCUGCCAAUGCUCAGGGAAGAAUAAACAGGAGGAGAAGCAGAUUUUGGUGCCCAGCUGCAAUGGACUCUGGUCGUACCUCUGGGUUCGCACAGAGAGUGACUGUGUGUGCCUAGAUUGAUUGGGCCUGUUCCUCCAAUUGCAGCAUCUCGCUGUUAAGCAGCCAGUUGGGUUGGUACCUCGAUACCACACCAACGAUUGCAUUAAAUUGCCCCCGCUGGAGUUUCAUAUAAGGGGCAUGCGCCCCCCCCCCCGAAUCCUGAAUUGUGUCAUUCUCUCUGCUCUUUAGGGAGCGCUGUGAGGUUUCAAGGACGCUCCCGGCCCUUUGGGGUUCAGAAGAACAUUCUGGAACAGCAGAGCGUGUUGAAUGCCAGGACCCGAACCGUCUCAGAGAGCUCCACCAUCUCCAUGGAGGAGGACGCCUUGCGACCCCCAGAAGGCACAGGCGAGGGAGUUGCUGUAGAGCGGCCGUCAACGGAGGGGGCAGAGCGAGAAGAGGCAAAGGGCUCAGGGUUUGGCUGGUUCAGUUGGUUUCGAUCAAAGCCCUCCAAGGAGGUGACGCCUUCCAGAGAUGUGUCCGGCCCUGCCCCAGUCUCUGCUGCACUGGGGUCCCAGGUAACAAGAGGACUAGAGGGGGCUUUUUACGUCACAGGGAUUUCAGAGGAGCUCUCCUCCCCACCCUCAGUCUGAAGAGGGGCCUUUCUCCUCUUACCUCCCACUCCCAGGAUAGCGGAGGUGCUGGUGGAGCCUUGUGCCAGGACUGGAAGAGCAGAGGUGGCUUCAGGUCAGGGAUGUAGGACCGUGGCAGAGGGGUGUGUGUGUGUGUGUGAAGUUUGCACACUGCCUGCACUAUUGCUCCCCGUCACCUCCCUGACUCUCCCUUUCAUGAUCAAGUUCACUUUUGCCAGUGUUCUCCCCCUUCUGGUGUAACCUCCCUGGCCCUCACACCGUGCACAUCUCCAUGCCAAGGCUGAAUGGCCCAGAGUUCAUUGCUGGGUAGAGGUAGUCCUGUGACCCUUGCUGUGGCAGGGGACUAAGCCCUUGGUGCAUGCAUGUUCUCAGACAGCUAACUGGUGCCAGACACCCUGUAAAGGGAACCAUGGUGCCUGGAGACACCCCAGUGGACAGACGGCCCAGAGGAUAGUUAACACUGGGUACAGUUAAGCGAACAGGAACGACUGGUGAAAUCGUGACCCUAUUGAAGCCAAUAGGAGUUUUGCCAUUGACUUCAAUGGAGCUAGGAUUUCACCCCUUAUCUUUAUCUUCAUUCAUCCUCCACUAGUUUGUCUCUCCAGCUUCAGGGCACCACCCGACUGCCAAGGUUUUCACUACAACCAUGUGUUCUUUACAUGCCACUGUACUUGGGGAUUUAUUUAUCAGUGGGACAGAAACUGAUAACUUGAGGUCUCCAUCCUGAAGCAAAUUCUCAUUUCUAAUAAUUGUAUAUUUAUAAAGUAACUUUGAUCCAGAAGGCUCUCCAAGAGCUCUGCAAACUCCGUGGGGGUCACUUGGCCUCUGCUGAAGGGAAAAGCAGCAGCUGAUAGCAGCAAAUGGCAACACUUCCACAGUUUUUAGUAGCUGAAGUGAAGAAUAAAUUCCCCCAUUGGAACUGCA
rnacentral:lncRNA from 1 species